AGAAGCAGCCAGCUUGCUGGAAGCGGAAAAGGGAAAGGCUUAGUGGCGGACGGGUGAGUAACGCGUGGGUAACCUGGCCCAUACAGGGGGAUAACACUUAGAAAUAGGUGCUAAUACCGCAUAACAACAGAAAGCGCAUGCUUUUUGUUUGAAAACCAAGGUGGUAUGGGAUGGACCCGCGUCUGAUUAGCUGGUUGGCGGGGUAAAGGCCCACCAAGGCGACGAUCAGUAGCCGGCCUGAGAGGGUGGACGGCCACAUUGGGACUGAGACACGGCCCAAACUCCUACGGGAGGCAGCAGUGGGGAAUAUUGCACAAUGGGGGAAACCCUGAUGCAGCGACGCCGCGUGAGUGAAGAAGUAAUUCGUUAUGUAAAGCUCUAUCAGCAGGGAAGAAAAUGACGGUACCUGAGUAAGAAGCCCCGGCUAACUACGUGCCAGCAGCCGCGGUAAUACGUAGGGGGCAAGCGUUAUCCGGAUUUACUGGGUGUAAAGGGAGCGUAGACGGCAGUGCAAGUCUGGAGUGAAAGGCGGGGGCUCAACCCCCGGACUGCUCUGGAAACUGUACGGCUGGAGUGCAGGAGAGGUAAGUGGAAUUCCUAGUGUAGCGGUGAAAUGCGUAGAUAUUAGGAGGAACACCAGUGGCGAAGGCGGCUUACUGGACUGUAACUGACGUUG
rnacentral:rRNA from 1 species